UCUGUCUACACCAUCCUCCUGUCUACACCAGCACCACUGCCCCAUCUAUACCACCACCCCGUCUACACAAUCCACCCAUCUACACCAUCGCCUCUCCUCUGUCUACACCAUCCUUCUGUCAACACCGGCACCACUGCCCCAUCUAUACCACCACCCCGUCUACACAAUCCACCCAUCUACACCAUCGCCUCUCCUCUGUCUACACCAUCCUUCUGUCAACACCAGCAGCACUGCCCCAUCUAUACCACCACCCCGUCUACACAAUCCACCCAUCUACACCAUCGCCUCUCCUCUGUCUACACCAUCCUCCUGUCUACACCAGCACCACUGCCCCAUCUAUACCACCACCCCGUCUACACAAUCCACCCAUCUACACCAUCGCCUCUCCUCUGUCUACACCAUCCUUCUGUCAACACCGGCACCACUGCCGUAUCUAUAUCCACCCAUCUACACCAUCACCUCCCCUGUGUCUACACCAUCCUCCCAUCCACACCAGCACCACCACCCCAUCUACACCAUCCCACCGUCUACACCAUUGCCAAAUCUACACAGACGACCUCACUCCCAUCCACGCCUUCACACGCACACCCGUCUACACCACCAUCUCCCCCGUGUCCGCACGGCGGCCCCGCUCCAUCGGCCCGAGAACAGCGACGGUGGCUUUGUCCCACGCGUCGUGUCUGGCCCGGGGUGCCCGAGGAGCUCAGGGACCGUGUAGCCCGGGGUGCAGCCCCCCAGAGGGUGCUGUGGUCUCCAUUUGGAGGGCCUGGCUGCGGCGCUAGGAGUUGGGACGCAAGGGUCUCUGCAGCGCCCUGACCUCCACGCCCUCCUAGGAAAGACCACGCUGAUCAAGGCGCUGACGGGCGAUGCCGCCAUCCAGCCGCGGGACCAGCUGUUUGCCACGCUGGACGUCACGGCCCACGCGGGCACGCUGCCCUCACGCAUGACCGUCCUGUACGUGGACACCAUCGGCUUCCUCUCCCAGCUGCCGCACGGCCUCAUCGAGUCCUUCUCCGCCACCCUGGAAGACGUGGCCCACUCGGAUCUCAUCCUGCACGUGAGGGACGUCAGCCACCCCGAGGCGGAGCUCCAGAAAUGCAGCGUUCUGUCCACGCUGCGUGGCCUGCAGCUGCCCGCCCCGCUCCUGGACUCCAUGGUGGAGGUUCACAACAAGGUGGACCUCGUGCCCGGGUACAGCCCCACGGAACCGAACGUCGUGCCCGUGUCUGCCCUGCGGGGCCACGGGCUCCAGGAGCUGAAAGCUGAGCUCGAUGCGGCGGUUUUGAAGGCGACGGGGAGACAGAUCCUCACUCUCCGUGUGAGGCUCGCAGGGGCGCAGCUCAGCUGGCUGUAUAAGGAGGCCACAGUUCAGGAGGUGGACGUGAUCCCUGAGGACGGGGCGGCCGACGUGAGGGUCAUCAUCAGCAACUCAGCCUACGGCAAAUUCCGGAAGCUCUUUCCAGGAUGAACAGACGCCCACAGAGGCCUGCAGAGUGGGGGCAUUGCUGCCUGGGGAGCUGAGGCGUUACCGCUGUGUUGGGGGCAGCUUGGUGUCAGGUGCAGCUUGGUGUCAGGUGCAGCAGGGUCCUCCUUGUCUGGUUCUGCACCCGUCUCGCUCCCAGCCAUUUGCUGGGAUGACCGUGCAGGCCGGUGACAUGGCCGCACCUGCCCCAAAGCGGGCCGCCCGAGCGUCCACUCCAAGCCUGAGCAUCCACACAAUUCCAGUGGGCCCUCGGUGCCUGCUGUGAACUGCUUUCCCUCGGAAUGUUUCCGUAACGGGACAUUAAACCUUUGUUUUUACCUCCGUGAGCAGCAUUUCCAGUUCCUCCUGCACCUGCCGUGAGCCGUGGCCCUGGUGGGCACCGACGGCCCCUCCGCCCGGCUGUCUGUGUUCACAGAUGGUCUCGGUUCCCAUGGUGGUGUCGGGGAAAUGACGAAAAAUCAGGUUUCCCGGCAGCACAGAGAACCCUUCCACAAAAGUAGAAGGGAAAGCAAAUAGUUUUACUAAAGAAGCAGCUUCAAACCAGACC
rnacentral:sRNA from 1 species